rnacentral:rRNA from 1 species
UACGAAGGGGGCUAGCGCUGUUCGGAUUUACUGGGCGUAAAGCGCACGUAGGCGGGUUGUUAAGUCAGGGGUGAAAUCCUGGAGCUCAACUCCAGAACUGCCUUUGAUACUGGCAACCUAGAGGCUGGAAGAGGUUAGUGGAAUUCCCAGUGUAGAGGUGAAAUUCGUAGAUAUUGGGAAGAACACCAGUGGCGAAGGCGGCUAACUGGUCCAGAUCUGACGCUGAGGUGCGAAAGCGUGGGGAGCAAACAGG